rnacentral:rRNA from 1 species
UGAUCCUGGCUCAGAUUGAACGCUGGCGGCAGGCUAACACAUGCAAGUCGAACGGUAACAGGAUAGCUUGCUAUCGCUGACGAGUGGCGGACGGGUGAGUAAUACUUAGGGAUCUGCCUCUGUGUGGGGGAUAACUAUUGGAAACGAUAGCUAAUACCGCAUAAUGUCUACGGACCAAAGCGGGCUUCGGCUCGUGCGCAGAGAGGAACCUAAGCGAGAUUAGCUAGUUGGUGAGGUAAAGGCUCACCAAGGCGACGAUCUCUAGCUGUUCUGAGAGGAAGAUCAGCCACACUGGAACUGAGACACGGUCCAGACUCCUACGGGAGGCAGCAGUGGGGAAUAUUGCACAAUGGGGGAAACCCUGAUGCAGCCAUGCCGCGUGUGUGAAGAAGGCCUUCGGGUUGUAAAGCACUUUCAGUUGUGAGGAAAGUUUAGUAGUUAAUACCUGCUAGAUGUGACGUUAGCAACAGAAGAAGCACCGGCUAACUCCGUGCCAGCAGCCGCGGUAAUACGGAGGGUGCGAGCGUUAAUCGGAAUUACUGGGCGUAAAGCGCACGCAGGCGGUCUGUUAAGCUAGAUGUGAAAGCCCCGCGCUCAACGUGGGAGGGUCAUUUAGAACUGGCAGACUAGAGUCUUGGAGAGGGGAGUGGAAUUCCAGGUGUAGCGGUGAAAUGCGUAGAGAUCUGGAGGAACAUCAAUGGCGAAGGCAACUCCCUGGCCAAAGACUGACGCUCAUGUGCGAAAGUGUGGGUAGCGAACAGGAUUAGAUACCCUGGUAGU